rnacentral:rRNA from 1 species
AACGAACGCUGGCGGCAUGCCUAACACAUGCAAGUCGAACGAGACCUUCGGGUCUAGUGGCGCACGGGUGCGUAACGCGUGGAAACCUGCCCUUAGGUUCGGAAUAACUCCCCGAAAGGGGUGCUAAUACCGGAUAAUGUCUUCGGACCAAAGAUUUAUCGCCUUUGGAUGGGCCCGCGUUGGAUUAGCUAGUUGGUAGGGUAAAAGCCUACCAAGGCGACGAUCCAUAGCUGGUCUGAGAGGAUGAUCAGCCACACUGGGACUGAGACACGGCCCAGACCCCGGCGGGGGGCGGAAGGGGGGAAUAUGGAAAAGGGGGGAAAGGCGGAACCCGCCAGUGCCGGGUAAGUGGGGAGGGCCUGAGGGUUAAAAGGCUUUUUUACCGGGGAUGAUAAGAACGUACCCGGGAAAAAAGGCCCGGCCAAACUCGGG